rnacentral:lncRNA from 10 species
AGGAAGUGUUGGCCCUCUUCCUUUUUUCCCAGCAAGCACACAGAGAUGAUGUAAGUUUUGCUAUCAAAAUAAACUUAUGUAUGUAAAAGCACAAGUUUUGCUGUCAAAAUGAGCUUAGGUAUGCAAAAGCACUUCAUUGAAUACAUCAGUAUCGAAUUUUAAAAUAGUACUAUUCUGCUGGUUUUUGUUCCAUGAGACUAAAAUAAAAAAGUAGUUGUUAAACAAAUUUACCUAGGCUCUUUCAUGUUAAGCCCAAUUACUAGUCAAUUUUAUCAGUAUAAUUCCAGCAAAAAUUCAUUUGGAUUAUAAUCAAAAUGAAUAAUUUGAUACGUGAACAAAAUUUAUGUGUAAGAUUGUUCAUCAGUAUUUUAUAUAUUUAUAGCUUUGAAAAUUUGAAGCAGUUUAGUUAUGCAACAACAGGUGAUUGUUGAAAAUUAUGGUACUACUCAAUAAUUAAAUUCAUGCUGGAAAGUAAUAUUUAAUAACCUAGGAAAAUAAUUAUAAUUUAUUUUUAGCCAAGAGAAACAGGUUAUAAAAUAGUAUAGAGAGAAUAUAUGUAAAACUACAAACACACACACAUACAUAUACACAUACAGAAAGAUAUGGCAUUUAUUAAAAAUACUUAAAAGAGAUAUACAAAAAUGUUAACAGUAUAGGAAUUCUGGAUUAAAAAAUACAUUUGUAAUAAAUUGUGUAUAUUUUCCACAGUGAAUAUACAUUAUCUUAUAGGGAAAAAAGCAGUUAUUAAAAUGAAAAGAGUCAACAUAGUGAAAACAAUUAGUCAAACUGGCCAUAAGAGAUUAUGUAGGCAAAACACCUGGCUGAUUGGAUUUUCCAGUUUUCUGCUGGUUGUUUUGAUUGUGUGUAGGCAUAGCCUCUUUUGUUAGUUUAGAAGCACAGGCUUGCAUAAAGUCCAAAUGAAGAAGAUAUGGAUAAGAAUAGCAGAGGUUGUUAAUUUUUCCAUUAGACCCACCAUCUGAUUCUCUUCAGGCUCAUGUCUCUUGAAUCCAGGAUGAAUUUCAUAGCUCAGUAUUUCAGUUAACUCCUAGCAGGGCUAGAUGUUAUUCGUGGUAAUGGUGGUCUCCUGUUUCUUGUGAAGUAGCCUUCUUUCCCACUUUAUUCUUUUUUGACUCUCUCUCUUCAUUCCUUCUUUUAUCCCUUCUUUUGUUCCUUCCUUUUUUUCCCACAACAUGUAAGGAU